GAUAUGGCUCAGGAUGAACGCUAGCUACAGGCUUAACACAUGCAAGUCGAGGGGAAACGGACAUCGAAAGCUUGCUUUUGAUGGGCGUCGACCGGCGCACGGGUGAGUAACGCGUAUCCAACCUGCCCAUCACUUGGGAAUAACCUUGCGAAAGUAAGACUAAUGCCCAAUGAUAUCCCACGAAGGCAUCCGAAUGGGAUUAAAGAUUUAUCGGUGAUGGAUGGGGAUGCGUCUGAUUAG
rnacentral:rRNA from 1 species